AGCAGCCGCGGUAAUUCCAGCUCCAAUAGCGUAUAUUAAAGUUGUUGCAGUUAAAAAGCUCGUAGUUGAAUUUUAGGCCUGGCCGGGCGGUCCGUCUUUGGCGAGUACUGUCUGUUGUCGGGUCUUCCUUCUGGUGAACCAAUAUGUCCUUUAUUGGGUGUGCUGGGGAGCCAGGACCAUUACCUUGAAAAAAUUAGAGUGUUUAAAGCAGGCUUUUGCUUGAAUAGAUUAGCAUGGAAUAAUAGAAUAGGACGUUGUGGUUCUAUUUUGUUGGUUUCUAGGACCACCGUAAUGAUUAAUAGGGAUAGUUGGGGGCAUUAGUAUUCAAUUGUCAGAGGUGAAAUUCUUGGAUUUAUUGAAGACUAACUACUGCGAAAGCAUUUUGCCAAGGAUGUUUUCAUUAAUCAAGAACGAAAGUUAGGGGAUCGAAGACGAUCAGAUACCGUCGUAGUCUUAACCAUAAACUAUGCCGACUAGGGAUCGGAUGAUGUUAAUUUUUUAAUGACUCAUUCGGCGCCUU
rnacentral:misc_RNA from 1 species